rnacentral:misc_RNA from 1 species
ACAGACCCAACGCCCAAAGCUCCCUCAACCCGAUUAAAAUGAUGUGAGCAUUUAGAGUAACCCGACCGAAUUGAAUUUGCCCGGCACAUAAACCGACACCAACCUUCGCAAACCUAACUGUGUUAUCGGGAUGAUUCAGGAAACAGACCAAUCCGACCCGACCCAAAUAUAUACAAACCCUAGUAUUUAUGAGCCUUUUCCUCCACCCUUUCAUCUCGCGCUCCUUAGGUUGGCCGCUGAUCAGUUCUCUGCUUCAGGGAGAAAUGGCUGAAGAAACUAAGGCAGCGGCUAUUAUCCCUGAAUCUGUGUUAAAGAAAAGGAAGAGAAGUGAGGAAUGGUCCUUGUUGAAGAACCAAGAACUGAAGGUAAAGAAGGAAAAAAAUGCUGAAA